rnacentral:rRNA from 1 species
UGCCAGCCGCCGCGGUAAUACGGAGGGGGUUAGCGUUGUUCGGAAUUACUGGGUGUAAAGGGUGCGUAGGCGGCUUCGUGUGUCAGAGGUGAAAUCCAGCGGCUCAACCGUUGGACUGUUCCUGAAACUGCGGAGCUUGAGUCCGUGAGAGGAAGGCGGAAUUCCUGGUGUAACGGUGAAAUGUGCAGAUAUCAGGAAGAACACCCGUAGCGAAGGCGGCCUUCUGGUGCGGAACUGACGCUGAGGCACGAAAGCUAGGGUAUCGAACGGGAUUAGAUA